rnacentral:rRNA from 1 species
CAUCUUUUGAUGGCGACCGGCGCACGGGUGAGUAACGCGUAUCCAACCUGCCUCAUACAGGGGGAUAACAGUUAGAAAUGACUGCUAAUACCGCAUAAGCGCACAGCAUCGCAUGAUGCAGUGUGAAAAACUCCGGUGGUAUAAGAUGGACCCGCGUUGGAUUAGCUAGUUGGUGAGGUAACGGCCCACCAAGGCGACGAUCCAUAGCCGGACUGAGAGGUUGACCGGCCACAUUGGGACUGAGAUACGGCCCAGACUCC